rnacentral:rRNA from 1 species
UACAGGGGGGGCAAGCGUUGUUCGGAAUUACUGGGCGUAAAGGGCUCGUAGGCGGCCAACUAAGUCCGACGUGAAAUCCCCAGGCUUAACCUGGGAACUGCGUCGGAUACUGGAUGGCUUGAAUCCGGGAGAGGGAUGCGGAAUUCCAGGUGUAGCGGUGAAAUGCGUAGAUAUCUGGAGGAACACCGGUGGCGAAGGCGGCAUCCUGGACCGGCAUUGACGCUAAAGCGCGAAAGCCAGGGGAGCAAACGGG